rnacentral:rRNA from 1 species
AGAGUUUGAUCCUGGCUCAGGACGAACGCUGGCGGCGUGCCUAACACAUGCAAGUCGAGCGGGGUCCAACCGGUGGCAACACCGGGGACGACCUAGCGGCGAACGGGUGAGUAACACGUGAGAAACCUGCCCCGAAGUCUGGGAUAACCCGAGGAAACUCGAGCUAAUACCGGAUGCCCCCUGCGGAUCGCAUGGUCUGCAGAGGAAAGAUUCAUCGCUUCGGGAGGGUCUCGCGGCCUAUCAGCUAGUUGGUGAGGUAACGGCUCACCAAGGCUUCGGCGGGUAGCUGGUCUGAGAGGACGAUCAGCCACACUGGGACUGAGACACGGCCCAGACUCCUACGGGAGGCAGCAGUGGGGAAUCUUGCGCAAUGGGCGAAAGCCUGACGCAGCAACGCCGCGUGCGGGAAGAAGGCCUUCGGGUUGUAAACCGCUUUCAGUAGGGACGAAAACAGACGGUACCUACAGAAGAAGCCCCGGCCAACUACGUGCCAGCAGCCGCGGUAAU